AUACAACUCUCAGCAACGGAUAUCUUGGCUCUUGCAACGAU
rnacentral:rRNA from 1 species